AUUUUAAAGGCUGAAAGGAAGCAGUUCAAAGGAUGAAGAAAGAAAGGACGAAAAACAUAAAAUGAGGUAGUUGGGUUUUUUUUGGUGCUCUCCACGUGGCACAUUGUAGCACAUGAGGCUUUUUGUACCAAAGGUCUGGUGUUUGUCAUAGGUGUCUUUGGAGGGAAGCAGUGAGGCUGUGGUUUGCAGAGGUGGAGAGAAGGCUCUUGUGGACCGUCUUGGCCAAGAUGUUCGAUGACCACCUGAGCUCAAAGACUUGGGGUGGCGGUGGCGGGGUCCUCUUCCAGGCCUGUGCUAGAUUCCCCACUUUUCCGCAUUGCCACAUUAGCACUUUCACUGGAUAUUUAGAGCACCUCAGGACUGGUUCUCCUCUCGCUCACACUGGGGUAACUCAGGAGUCGCUCCACUGGAAGCAGUGGUGUUAAUCUGGUGUGAAAAUAAUGCAAGAGGAGGAUUCAACUCCUCGGGGGGAGUUUUCCAGGUCCCCGAGGGGGGAAAAAAUCAAUGGGAGUUACAUGUCUAACUGCCACUUGUGCCUGUGAAAGUCUGCCCCUUACCUACCCAUAUGUAUAUAGGGUAUCAUUUUCAGAAUAACCCAAGUGACAUGGGUGCUUGAGAGUAUACAUUUCACUGGCUUUCAAAUAAACUUAAUGCUCCUAAGGCCCAGAUCCUGAAGGAUUUCCAAGCUUCUAUCUGCAGCCCAUGUCAGGGCUAAAAUUCUCAAGUCAUUUUGGAAAAAGGAGCUAAAGAUCCCAAGUCAUUUAGGUGGCCCUGAAAACACUACCCUCUAUCCAUUGUUCAGGGUGUUGAUCUCAGGUCAUGUGCGAGCCUGCAUUCUUACCUACAAUGCUUUAUUACCACAUUCCUCUGUUGAGCAAUACUCGGAAGAAAAGGUGAAGGCUGAGAUUUGCAGAACUGGAUAGUGACCGAGUGGUUCACAUCUGGAGCACCCAACUUGGAGGCUCCUUACUGGGGCACAAACUAUAGGUCCUCAAUGUACUCUGAGAGUCGAGAUUGAUGUAUUACACACCCAGAACCACCGGUCACUUCCAAAAAUCCUAGCCCGAGAUCCUGACUGCUCUCAUAAAAGAAAAUCCUAGGAUAGCCGUUCAUCCAAUAGCUUGGUUUUUCUGCUCAUGCCUGUUCCCAAUGAACAAAACACAUCCCUAUGCAUCACCUAAGCCCUAUUUUGAGGAGUUACACUGGCAUACAGCUGAAGUAACACAGUGGUAAAUCAGGGCCCGAAGAAGAAGGCUACAGCCUAGAGAGUGUAAAGAACUGUGACGUGUCUGGAAGCUAAUAAGAGCAGAACUUGACGAUUAGAGCGGCCCAUUUCCGAUGCUCUUGUGUGAGGAUCUGGAAAGAGUCUCUCACUCAUUGUACUUGUGCAUUAUGAAUGUGUCCAUCUGCAGAGAUCUAAUGUACACAUAUGUCCUGAAUAUUGUCCUAAGGUUGCAAGCUUCAAAACUGAGCAGAAAACAUUCCCGAGAAGUGAGAAUAAUACAGAUGUCUGUAUUUGAAAAAUUGGUUCAAAUAAAGUCUCUCACU
ensembl:lncRNA